UACGAAGGGGGCUAGCGUUGUUCGGAAUUACUGGGCGUAAAGGGCGCGUAGGCGGUGUGUCAAGUCAGGCGUGAAAGCCCCGGGCUCAACCUGGGAACCGCGCUUGAGACUGGCACGCUAGAGUUCGGGAGAGGAUGGUGGAAUUCCCAGUGUAGAGGUGAAAUUCGUAGAUAUUGGGAAGAACACCGGAUGGCGAAGGCAGCCAUCUGGACCGACACUGACGCUGAGGCGCGAAAGCGUGGGGAGCAAACAGGG
rnacentral:rRNA from 1 species